AGUACAUUUAUUGGAACCUUCUUGGUAUGUUCCAUCUUUCUGGCUUCCUUAGCACCAUGUCAAUGGUUUCGUGUCCUCUUGCAACGUGCAGACAGCUUACACUCAUCAACUUUAGAGGUUGCACAGUCGAAGGUGCUUGAGUCAUUAGUGUGUCAGAGUAACAUCCCUGCAUUGUAGCCCAUCUAUUCUGGCGUCAAUGGCUAGGCUGUUGUGUACCAUCAGAACUUUUUAAUGCUGUGUGGAUAUC